rnacentral:rRNA from 1 species
GAGUAAUGUCUGGGAAACUGCCUGAUGGAGGGGGAUAACUACUGGAAACGGUGGCUAAUACCGCAUAACGUCGCAAGACCAAAGAGGGGGACCUUCGGGCCUCUUGCCAUCAGAUGUGCCCAGAUGGGAUUAGCUUGUUGGUGAGGUAACGGCUCACCAAGGCGACGAUCCCUAGCUGGUCUGAGAGGAUGACCAGCCACACUGGAACUGAGACACGGUCCAGACUCCUACGGGAGGCAGCAGUGGGGAAUAUUGCACAAUGGGCGCAAGCCUGAUGCAGCCAUGCCGCGUGUAUGAAGAAGGCCUUCGGGUUGUAAAGUACUUUCAGCGGGGAGGAAGGUGUUGUGGUUAAUAACCACAGCAAUUGACGUUACCCGCAGAAGAAGCACCGGCUAACUCCGUGCCAGCAGCCGCGGUAAUACGGAGGGUGCAAGCGUUAAUCGGAAUUACUGGGCGUAAAGCGCACGCAGGCGGUCUGUCAAGUCGGAUGUGAAAUCCCCGGGCUCAACCUGGGAACUGCAUUCGAAACUGGCAGGCUUGAGUCUUGUAGAGGGGGGUAGAAUUCCAGGUGUAGCGGUGAAAUGCGUAGAGAUCUGGAGGAAUACCGGUGGCGAAGGCGGCCCCCUGGACAAAGACUGACGCUCAGGUGCGAAAGCGUGGGGAGCAAACAGGAUUAGAUACCCUGGUAGUCCACGCCGUAAACGAUGUCUACUUGGAGGUUGUGCCCUUGAGGCGUGGCUUCCGGAGCUAACGCGUUAAGUAGACCGCCUGGGGAGUACGGCCGCAAGGUUAAAACUCAAAUGAAUUGACGGGGGCCCGCACAAGCGGUGGAGCAUGUGGUUUAAUUCGAUGCAACGCGAAGAACCUUACCUGGUCUUGACAUCCACGGAAGUUUUCAGAGAUGAGAAUGUGCCUUCGGGAACCGUGAGACAGGUGCUGCAUGGCUGUCGUCAGCUCGUGUUGUGAAAUGUUGGGUUAAGUCCCGCAACGAGCGCAACCCUUAUCCUUUGUUGCCAGCGAUUAGGUCGGGAACUCAAAGGAGACUGCCAGUGAUAAACUGGAGGAAGGUGGGGAUGACGUCAAGUCAUCAUGGCCCUUACGACCAGGGCUACACACGUGCUACAAUGGCGCAUACAAAGAGAAGCGACCUCGCGAGAGCAAGCGGACCUCAUAAAGUGCGUCGUAGUCCGGAUUGGAGUCUGCAACUCGACUCCAUGAAGUCGGAAUCGCUAGUAAUCGUGGAUCAGAAUGCCACGGUGAAUACGUUCCCGGGCCUUGUACACACCGCCCGUCACACCAUGGGAGUGGGUUGCAAAAGAAGUAGGUAGCUUAACCUUCGGGAGGGCGCUUACCACUUUGUGAUUCAUGACUGGGGUGAAGUCGUAACAAGGUAACCGUAGGGGAACCUGCGGUUGGAUCACCUCCUUACCUUAAAGAAGC